rnacentral:pre_miRNA from 1 species
CGUGCACUAAUGGGGGAGUCCCUUAGACAGGACUGCAAGAGGGUGCAGGCCUGGCCGAGGGACUCCACCAGUGCACA